UUUAACUUUUCCUUUUAUAUUGUACAACUAUUAAAUGUUUCAUUUGUUUCCAAGAAAACUUUUGAUUUCCCAACUCAAAUCCAAUGUUAACCCUCCUCUCACCCUUUCUAUCUUUCUCUCUCUCGAUCUUUUUUUUAUUCUUCAUCUUCCUUAUUCCCUCUUCCCAUCUCUUUCUUUCGACUUCUCUUCUUUCUUUUGUUGUCGUGAUUCUAGAAUUUUUGUGACCAUAUCUGUCUCAUCAUUGCUUUCCCCCUGUUGAAACCCUAAAAUCAAAAUCAUGGAUUAUAGGCGUGCUACUUUUCCAAAAAUAUUAUCUUUAUUGUUUUGAAUCUUAUAUUGAGUGAUAUUUUUUUUAUCUGAUUCAUAGGAACCUUGCAAAAUGGAAGCUGAGAGUGUUGAGGUUGGCACUGCAUAUAUGUAUGCUGCAUAUUAGAACUGAGACUGUAAUCAUUCUUCAAACAAAAUGGUCGUAACAACUCAAACUGAGCUCAUUCCUCAUGUCCUCCUUAGAACCCAAGGCUUCUAGGAUUCGGUUGUAUGGGACUCAGUGAUGCCUAUAAUGGUCCUCUUUUUGAACAAGAUGGAAUUUCCGUUAUUCACUAUGCAUUCUGUCAAGGAAUCACUUUUUUUAUACGAAUGAUGUUUAUGGAACUGAUACCAUAUGUUCAACAUGUUUCUUAUUCACUUUAUGAUAACUUGAUUUUGUUGACUAGGCUUUGAAGCAGUUGUCUAGAGAAAAGAUCCAACUAGCUAUAAAAUUUGGUAUAUCUAAAGGAGAUGGUCCUGGUUUCACUGGUGUCAGCUUCAAGGGUUCCCCCGAGUAUGUGCGCUCAUGUUGCGAAGCUAGCUUGAAACGUCUUGAUGUUGAGUACAUUGAUCUCUAUUAUCAACACCGAGUUGACAAAUCUGUGCCUAUUGAGGAUAAAAUUAAUCAUUCUUCCUAUGCUGCGUUAUAUGACUAGAUUCAUUGUUAACAUGUUUGUUCGGUUAUACGUUGGUGAACUUAAGAAACUGGUGGAAGAGGGAAAAGUGAAGUAUAUUGGCCUACCUGAAGCUAGCCCGUAUACGAUAAGGAGAUCACAUGUUGUUCAUCCCAUCACAGUUGUACAAAGAAAGUGGUCUCUUUGGACUCACGAUAUUGUGAACGAUAUAGUUCCUCUCUGUAGGUUAGUUUGAGUUCCUCUCCAAGUUUGAACCAGUAGUUCUUGGGUCUGUUUGUGUUAAAUGAGACUUUGCUUAUUUAUAGUUUUGGCUGAUACAGAGAGAUUGGUAUUGGAAUUGUACCAUAUAGUUCUCUUGGUCAUGGUUUUUUGGUGGCAAAGGAGUUCUGGAAAAUGUACUUGCAGUUGGCACCUUUCUAUAGCUUUUUAGCACUUUGAUUAAAUAAGUUUUUGCUGCAUAUACCAUGGAAAUAUUAAGAAGAUGGAUGUAUUUGAUACUUCGCAUUUGAACCGUGUCGUUGGAUUGGGAAGCAGCUUUGCUUCUAUAGUUGGUGAUUUUGGCUGGUUGUUUAUAAUGCAAUCGCGCUUGCAUCAAUAGUUGAACAGAAGAAGAAAUUGCAAAACUGGAAACUAGAUUCGGUUACAACAUUUGGAUUUGAUGAUGAAUCUAGAGGUUCAAGUAAUAUUCAAGACUAGGUCUAAAGUCAUUUCCUACAUUAGGUCCUUCUUGGACAAGCUUGAUUUCUUAGAGGUUUGUUCCGUGCCUUAAAUAUUCUCAUGACCAAAUUGUUUGAUUUUAUUAACGACAUUAACGGACGACAAUAAAUAUGGAAGAUUGUGGUAAGAGUUCACCGCAAAGAAGUAAGUUACUAUGAUUUUCAAUAUUUUUGACUAAAUAUUUUUACAUAUUUUUAUUUCUAUUUGUGAUUUGUAUUUUAAUCAUACAAACUUUGAUGGAUUUAUGUUUUGAUACAGAUUUUACAAAAAUGCUUCUGUUUACUUUGAUGAAUAUUUUCAAAUUUCACUUACUGUUAGGAAGGAAAUAGGAAUUGUAAAGACUAGAUGACAAGUUAGGAAAUAGGAAUAUUGUCUUUGGUUGAUGGAUAAUAUAACCACAUGCUAUUUAAUACCAGAUCUUCCUCACCUUAUAGCAAAGGUGUUGCAAUAGAUGAAUGGGUUGACUUCACAGAUAAAUCUUGAACUACUCUUUGGAUUUGCCUCCAUUGGAUCCAAUGAUUUGUAGCUCCAAAACCGUGAAGACGCUUCAAGUGUGAGCACACCACAACUUCCAAACCAAAAUCGUGGUUCUCUGUCAAACUUCAACACCAACACCGAUUUUGUAGCUAUCACACGACAACUCUUCUUUUCGUAAUACGUUCGGUUCAUAUUUACCUAUUUUUUUGUGGUGUUGGUAUUGUUAGUCUUAUAUAUGAUUUUGAGUAUAUUGUUUA